rnacentral:miRNA from 1 species
CCGGGAACUGAAGCUGGUGGCUCCCAGUGAGUUGCUCAACAGUCGGGACAACUCUAAGUGACCAAC